AAAAUCUUAGGCCACUUUUUCUUCCCCUUUCUUGUGCUAUUUUGUUACAUCUUCAGCAAUACUGGAAACGGGCACUCUUCAAUUAUUAAAACUCAGCCUAUAGGUUGGGACAGUUUACAGAUAGAUCUUUGCAGGUUGGAAAGGGAAAACCAAUAAACACUCUACAGUGGCAGCUUUUUAUUUAAGUAUUAGUAGUAUACAUCUACUUAUGCACAGAAGGAUGAGCUGAACGUUCAAGGAUGUAUCCUUUGAAACGCAAAAUAAAUCCCUACUGACUUCAUUUUAAACAUUCGAUUAAACAGGACUGGGAUGUAGCUCAGUAGUAGACCACAUGCUUACCAGGCCUAGGGCCCGCAUCACUACCCAAAAACAAAAACAAAAAAGCAAGCUACUGUUUGGCUGUAUUCCCGCAAGCUAAGGUAGGAUUUGAACAGAGACUACAGCUCCCGUCAUGCCCGGGGGCCUCAGGUGAGUAAUAGCCACUAGAACUACACCUCCCGACGUCCCUAGCUCUCGCGUGAUUGGCUGCCACGAGAACUGCAACUCCCGGCAGGCGGCGGGCUGCGAGGGAGUAGGAGGGGCGUCCUGACCAGCUCCGCGGGUUUUGGAGUUCCUCCAGUCUCACCUGAAGAGGAUGAAGGCGACAGGGGCCCUAGGAGCUGUGGGACCCGGCGAGAGCCGGUCUCUGAAGGCUUGUUUGUUGCUUGGCGGCCUCUUCCCUGGAAGAGCUGAGGAACAGGGGUCUCGCUGUGCAGUUCAGGCUGGCCAGCAACCAGUUAACAAGUUACAAGGGCUUGUUUACUCCGAGGAGCUCCGGUGUUCUCAGGCUGGUUUCAUCCUGCACAUGUAACUAUUUUCCAGCUUCAGCGGCUCCCAACAAUCGUCUAGCAUUGACUCAACCCCUGCCCUGUGCGAGUGGACGAGCCAGCCACUAGUGUGCUGAUGAAGAAGGGAGGCAGACAGCAGGUGCUAGUCAGUGUGCCACGUGAGGACCUGGCUCAGGAGCUCGGCUGGAGCUGCGCCGCCAUCCGGGGGUUCCAGAACACGUGAGAGUGCGUGCUUCAACUGGAAGAGGGGAACGAGUUUUAGCACGGAGCUCCGGAGAAAGGACAGCGGCAUCCUGUCAAGGCAGGAAGAGUCCAAAGCUACCUUCGGGGAAGAGGUAGACGCGGAGGACAGCACCAUCGGAGAGCACGCCUUCCAAAUCUCACAAGCCAGAUCUGCUCUGCACUGCAGGAGAAACCGGCUCCCGAGCUGAGCUUGUCUAGUCGGGAUUUGGAGGUGGGCAAGGACACGCGAUGCAAGCUGCGGAGUGAUCUCCCCUGGAGGUGUAGUGGGCCUGCCCAGGCCUGGAUGGGAUUUCUUUUCACCUCUACAGAACUGGGCUUCCAGCUGCUAGUUUGUCUGCUCCCUGCCAGAGCAAUCACAAACGCCCCGCUUACUCUAAACCAAAGUGACUUAUGUUUUUUAUGCUGCUUGUGCCAAUGCAUUUUUUUAAAACUUUAUUUUUUGUGGUGAUGGUGAUGCUGUGACUGAACAUAAUAAAUUUUGUUUGGUUUUUCUCUUGGUAACCUAUCUACUGUCAUUCAUUUCUCAGACUAAGAUUAUGACAUUUUCAGAAAGAAGAGAAACUUUGUGCUACACCUGGUGCCUGUUGGUGUUACAGAGAUAAGCAGAACUGACGCUGUCCUGGCACGUAACAGUGCGGUGGGAAAAGCCGGUACAAAAACACCACACAAACAUAGUUACAAGACAAGUCCGCGACCCCACCCACCAAGUCAAACUGAAUUGCUCCAAGCAGAAAAAGUGUGGCAAGUCUGCUGAGGCAGGAGGACUGCUCAGAGGCCAAGCCUGAACUACAGACCAAACAAACUGUGGCACAUGAGGCAAACCUGCUUCAGCCAGCCCAAGUAAAGCUGGGCUGCACAAAGAGUUGCAGAAGUGAUGGGUGUUCAGGGGAAGCUGGAAAGGCUGUGCUGGAAGAACAUAGUCCAAAGUCCGGAACAGUGGUCAGUUUUCAGUCUAGCUGGCAACUGUCAGAAGUUGGUGACUUGAACCUUUUACAGCUAACCUGUUACUGCGGCAUUGCUGCUUUACAUCUGGUGGUUACACUUUUCUGCUGGAUGUUUAAGACCAAGUUAAGGUGAGAUCUGUGUAAAUGACAACUUAGCCUUUUGUUACCUAUCAAGGUCAGUUAAGUCUCCUCUGGAAUUGCCACGGGACCAAGUACAGCAUCUCUUGAUCUUCUGUCAGUGUCAGCCAUCCAGAUGAGUCGUGGCCAUUGUUUGACCAAGGUGCUUUCUGU